GCCGACUUGGCGGAAUUGGUAGACGUGCAAGAUUUAGGUUCUUGUGUCGAAAGGCGUGUGGGUUCGAGUCUCACAGUCGGCA
rnacentral:tRNA from 1 species